ACAGGGAUUGCCCUAGUAACGGCGAGUGAAGCGGCAACAGCUCAAAUUUGAAAUCUGGCGUCUUUGGCGUCCGAGUUGUAAUUUGCAGAGGGCGCUUUGGCAUCGGCGGCGGUCCAAGUUCCUUGGAACAGGACGUCACAGAGGGUGAGAAUCCCGUACGUGAUCGCUAGCCUUUACCGUGUAAAGCCCCUUCGACGAGUCGAGUUGUUUGGGAAUGCAGCUCUAAAUGGGAGGUAAAUUUCUUCUAAAGCUAAAUACUGGCCAGAGACCGAUAGCGCACAAGUAGAGUGAUCGAAAGAUGAAAAGCACUUUGGAAAGAGAGUUAAAAAGCACGUGAAAUUGUUGAAAGGGAAGCGCUUGCAGCCAGACUUGCCUGUAGUUGCUCAUCCGGGUUUUUACCCGGUGCACUCUUCUAUAGGCAGGCCAGCAUCAGUUUGGGCGGUUGGAUAAAGGUCUCUGUCAUGUACCUCUCUUCGGGGAGAACUUAUAGGGGAGACGACAUGCAACCAGCCUGGACUGAGGUCCGCGCAUCUGCUAGGAUGCUGGCGUAAUGGCUGUAAGCGGCCCGUCUUGAAACACGGACCAAGGAGUCUAACAUCUAUGCGAGUGUUUGGGUGUCAAGCCCGAACGCGUAAUGAAAGUGAACGGAGGUGGGAACCUUUCGGGGUGCACCAUCGACCGAUCCUGAUGUCUUCGGAUGGAUUUGAGUAAGAGCAUAGCUGUUGGGACCCGAAAGAUGGUGAACUAUGCUUGAAUAGGGUGAAGCCAGAGGAAACUCUGGUGGAGGCUCGCAGCGGUUCUGACGUGCAAAUCGAUCGUCAAAUUUGGGCAUAGGGGCGAAAGACUAAUCGAACUAUCUAGUAGCUGGUUCCUGCCGAAGUUUCCCUCAGGAUAGCAGUAACGUUUUCAGUUUUAUGAGGUAAAGCGAAUGAUUAGAGGCCUGGGGGUUGAAACAACCUU
rnacentral:rRNA from 2 species